UACGUAGUGGGCAAGCGUUGUCCGGAAUCAUUGGGCGUAAAGCGCGUGUAGGCGGGUCGGUAAGUCCGCUCUGAAAGCCCGGGGCUCAACCCCGGGAGGCGGGUGGAUACUGUCGACCUCGAGUCCGGAAGAGGCGAGUGGAAUUCCUGGUGUAGCGGUGAAAUGCGCAGAUAUCAGGAGGAACACCAAUGGCGAAGGCAGCUCGCUGGGACGGUACUGACGCUGAGACGCGAAAGCGUGGGGAGCAAACAGG
rnacentral:rRNA from 1 species